GGUCAACAAGGAAUUAAUCACUUCUAGUAAGAGAAGAUCGCAUCCUAUUUAUUCUAAUCAUAUGAUAAUUCAGGAAGUCUUUGAUCAAAGCAGAAUGAAAAUUAGAAAGAGUUUCUAAUAUUUUAUUAUUUGAAUUAUCAUUAAAAGAUUGAGAAAAAUUUGGAUAUGAAAUUGAGUUUGACAUAUAUUCAUACUCAUAUACAUAUUUGGGAUGCAGUUUGAUUAAAGGAUUGAAUUGCACGGUAACUUGCCACUGAAGGGUAUUUUUGGUAUUUCCACCAAAUUUCAUAUUUUUGGGUAGACAUGACACGUUGCUAGACGUCAAUCUUGUCUUAUAGGCUUGAUCGAAUUAAAGAGUUUAAUUCGAUCACCAAUUAGAAAGGAUUUUAAUUGUUAAGUUCGGGUUCGCGCAGUUUGGACUUAAAUCGAUUAGAAGAGUUCUAAUCAAGUUGGGUCAACUCGCACUCACACCUAUUGCUGGCUAAGUAUGGAACCCAAUGGGUCACACACAAGAAAACUUAUCAAGGGUCUAAUUGGAUUAGAUCAUGUU
rnacentral:lncRNA from 1 species